GCUUAUGUGAGGCAGUUUGAUCUAGUGGUUAGAGAAUGGGAGUCUAGGAACCUUCAGCUCUGCCCCUGGGGCCUUGGGACAGAAGACCUAAGGAGUGAGGAGCAGCAGAAGAUAAGCAUCUAAGAGCUAUUCUGCACUACACAAGAGCAUGGCCAGGGAGAAGAUGGGCAUCGCAGCUCUGCAAUGGCCCGCUCCAGCCAGACACUGGUUAUUAGAGCUGACUGAGGAACGGG